rnacentral:rRNA from 1 species
UUGCUUUCUUUGCUGGCGACCGGCGCACGGGUGAGUAACACGUAUCCAACCUGCCCUUUACUCGGGGAUAGCCUUUCGAAAGAAAGAUUAAUACCCGAUAGCAUAAUGAUUCCGCACGGUUUCAUUAUUAAAGGAUUCCGGUAAAGGAUGGGGAUGCGUUCCAUUAGGUUGUUGGUGGGGUAACGGCCCACCAAGCCUUCGAUGGAUAGGGGUUCUGAGAGGAAGGUCCCCCACAUUGGAACUGAGACACGGUCCAA